rnacentral:lncRNA from 1 species
GAAUCAAAUGAGAUUAUCUAGAAAUCUGACUAGAACUGUUAUAUUUUUAUGACUUAACAGACAUCGGGACCUCAGGACCAUCCUUAAACCAUGGUGGAAACAGAACCACACAAUGAAUCAGAUUCUUCUUUGAACUUACCCAGGAAGAUCUAGGUUACAGUCAUCAAAUGUCUUGAGCAUUUUAGUUAGCUCUGAUCUCUGCUAAGACUUACUGCCAAUGUGGUACAAAAGUCAUCUGCACUUCUGGCCAAAACCUCCCUGCCUAGUCAUCGCUCAUUCUUCCUAUGGUACAUCUGCAAUGACUGACAGGCAUACACUUCACUAGGGCCAGCACUACAGAGAUGUGAGAUAGUUACAGCUUCUCAGCACAGCCUAACAUGCAUUCCAGGAGCUUGAAGCAGAUUCUUCUGGUACCUGAGUUAGUAGUACUCUGUCAGCUUUCCUGCAAUUACGUCACUGUGUUUCCAGAGCUACUGUGUCUGCAGAAGUUCCAGAAAGCUCAUGGUGAAGAGUCUGCUUUCACCUGUCAGAUUCAAGCCCAUUAAAUGAUUUGAGGAAAUGAAAAACAAGUGAUCCUUUUAGGUGAGUUGCAGGUAUCAUUUCAGACCUCUAAAGAGUAGGGGAAAAAAAGUUAUUUGUACUCUAAAAUGAUAACAGAAAUCUAUAUAUUCCCAAGAGUUGUCAACAACUGGCCUACAGUCUAGCUUGAAGCUUUUGGUAACCCCACCAGCUACAGCUCUGGACAAGCCAAAGAUUGCCAGAAGGAUACAUGUUGCCUUUGAAACUGCAGCCUUUGACCUGGUCUUAGACUUCCACUUCUGAACUGGUAAGUAACGGACAUAAAAUAUUGUAAUAGUUAGAUUUUUGUUCAACCUAGUGUGCUUGGUCUAAUGUUUUUAUGUUUACGUCAUUUUUAAUAAGGGUAGAAAGGUGACAUCUUGUAUCCUAAUUGCAGUGUCAUAUGGAAAAGCAGCAAUUUCUGGUCACCCGAGGGCACCCUUUUACAAAGAGGCACCUCUGAGACAUGGAUCCAUUGAGUUGGCUGACAUGACAGAAGCAGCCC